GAUGAACGCUGGCGGCGUGCCUAAUACAUGCAAGUCGAGCGAACGGACGAGAAGCUUGCUUCUCUGACGUUAGCGGCGGACGGGUGAGUAACACGUGGAUAACCUACCUAUAAGACUGGGAUAACUUCGGGAAACCGGAGCUAAUACCGGAUGAUAUUUUGAACCGCAUGGUUCAAUAGUGAAAGACGGUCUUGCUGUCACUUAUAGAUGGAUCCGCGCUGCAUUAGCUAGUUGGUAAGGUAACGGCUUACCAAGGCAACGAUGCAUAGCCGACCUGAGAGGGUGAUCGGCCACACUGGAACUGAGACACGGUCCAGACUCCUACGGGAGGCAGCAGUAGGGAAUCUUCCGCAAUGGGCGAAAGCCUGACGGAGCAACGCCGCGUGAGUGAUGAAGGUCUUCGGAUCGUAAAACUCUGUUAUUAGGGAAGAACAAAUGUGUAAGUAACUAUGCACGUCUUGACGGUACCUAAUCAGAAAGCCACGGCUAACUACGUG
rnacentral:rRNA from 1 species